rnacentral:rRNA from 1 species
UGGGUCUAAUACCGAAUAUGACCACAGAAUGCAUGUUUUGUGGUGGAAAGCUCCGGCGGUAUGGGAUGGGCCCGCGGCCUAUCAGCUUGUUGGUGGGGUAAUGGCCUACCAAGGCGACGACGGGUAGCCGGCCUGAGAGGGCGACCGGCCACACUGGGACUGAGACACGGCCCAGACUCCUACGGGAGGCAGCAGUGGGGAAUAUUGCACAAUGGGCGCAAGCCUGAUGCAGCGACGCCGCGUGAGGGAUGACGGCCUUCGGGUUGUAAACCUCUUUCACCAGGGACGAAGCGAGAGUGACGGUACCUGGAGAAGAAGCACCGGCCAACUACGUGCCAGCAGCCGCGGUAAUACGUAGGGUGCGAGCGUUGUCCGGAAUUACUGGGCGUAAAGAGCUCGUAGGCGGUUUGUCGCGUCGUUCGUGAAAACUUGGGGCUUAACUCCAAGCGUGCGGGCGAUACGGGCAGACUUGAGUACUACAGGGGAGACUGGAAUUCCUGGUGUAGCGGUGAAAUGCGCAGAUAUCAGGAGGAACACCGGUGGC